CUGAAUACAUUUAUUUGAAUGUAUAAUUUGAUACACCAAUUAUAGGGGUCCUUGAAAGAGCAAUCUGUGCCAAAUUCAAGUACCUGAGAUACAAUGAUCCAACUCAUUAACAUUAUAAAGGAAUUAAGUAGGCAUGAGGACCCACUGGCCGUUACUUAACCUUAAAAAACCUCAUUAGUCGUCCAGCAAUGAGCUGCUUAUUAUCGUGCAUACAGGUUUGAAACAAAGGGAUGACAAAACAGAGCACGCAAGAGCGCGCAGCCAGCGUGAGCGACAACCAACAAAAGAAUUCACCAUUUGGACAUUUAUAAUCUGUAUUUGGACACUGGCUACGUGUCGGUUGCAUAAGUAUGUUGUAUAGACGUAAAGCGUUGUGAACACUUCAGUGAACACACUAGACAGGCUCUUUGUCUAGUAAUGCUGCAACAACGAUGAGCUUUCGAGAGGGGACUUCCUGCAUCGUCCGAGACUGUGCUGAACACGUCACUACGCCUGUCCUCAAGAUUCCCAGCGAAUAUUGUUUAGGAGUAGUGUCUCCGUCCAAACAGAAGGAUUUCAACAAACGUUUCAGAAAAAAAAAAACGGCAGAAUAAACUGAUACUGCUGCUAGAAAUGCCACCGGUGUCAGAAGAAACCCAUUUGAAACAACAGAAGGCUUCACUGAAAAAUACAAUCAAGCAGAAGCCUGCAAAGAGCAGGAAGAGUAUGAAGAUCUUGCAAGGCAGUUUCUUAGUCGAUGCAAGGAAACGACAUCGCAGAAAGCAUCCUGGCCGUGGCAGUUGGAGCAUAUAUACUGCUGCAUUCUGAUUUGCCAGAAUAGCCACUGUGCUGAAAUGAAGAAAACUCUGCUCAGUGCAGACGUUCUGGAGGACUUACAACCUUGCUAAAACAACUGCAUGAAGACAGAUGGAGGCUGCGGUACAGUGUGGUUCAGGGUUUGGCACAGAUAAGCUGCAGGAAGCUCUGAGGAACACUGUCUGGUUAACACUACAGAAGCAGGAGACAUCAAUGCUGUGAGGAUCACUGAGCUUCCUGCUGCUACAGAGUAAAUGUAGCCCAAAUAUUACAACACUACUCACAACACACAGAAGAAAAAACAAAUGCCCUCAUUUGCAUAAACUGGCCUAUCAGUUACUCUUUUGAACUUUUCACUAGGUUUUUCCGUUAAAGUCGAAACUAGUUUAGAAUAAUUUCCUUCUACUAAAAGGGAUUUAUGUUCCUGAAGUCAGCACACAUUAGUUAGGAGACAACAUGUCCUUUUCUGGUAGUUUUAAGGACAUCUGUAUGCUGAACUGCAAGGUCAAGUGCAUUGCAUUGUGGGAUACUGUGCACAAUGUGUUUUGUUGUAAAAUGUAGUUUUAUAAAAUGUACUCUUAUGCUCA